AGAGGUUGCUUCUGGCUCAGGAUGAACGCUAGCUACAGGCUUAACACAUGCAAGUCGAGGGGCAGCAUUUUAGUUUGCUUGCAAACUGAAGAUGGCGACCGGCGCACGGGUGAGUAACACGUAUCCAACCUGCCGAUAACUCCGGGAUAGCCUUUCGAAAGAAAGAUUAAUACCGGAUAGUAUACGAAUAUCGCAUGAUAUUUUUAUUAAAGAAUUUCGGUUAUCGAUGGGGAUGCGUUCCAUUAGUUUGUUGGCGGGGUAACGGCCCACCAAGACUACGAUGGAUAGGGGUUCUGAGAGGAAGGUCCCCCACAUUGGAACUGAGACACGGUCCAAACUCCUACGGGAGGCAGCAGUGAGGAAUAUUGGUCAAUGGGCGAGAGCCUGAACCAGCCAAGUAGCGUGAAGGAUGAAGGCUCUAUGGGUCGUAAACUUCUUUUAUAUGGGAAUAAAGUUUUCCACGUGUGGAAUUUUGUAUGUACCAUAUGAAUAAGGAUCGGCUAACUCCGUGCCAGCAGCCGCGGUAAUACGGAGGAUCCGAGCGUUAUCCGGAUUUAUUGGGUUUAAAGGGAGCGUAGGUGGAUUGUUAAGUCAGUUGUGAAAGUUUGCGGCUCAACCGUAAAAUUGCAGUUGAAACUGGCAGUCUUGAGUACAGUAGAGGUGGGCGGAAUUCGUGGUGUAGCGGUGAAAUGCUUAGAUAUCACGAAGAACUCCGAUUGCGAAGGCAGCUUACCAAACUAUAUCUGACGUUGAGGCACGAAAGCGUGGGGAGCAAACAGGAUUAGAUACCCUGGUAGUCCACGCAGUAAA
rnacentral:rRNA from 1 species